rnacentral:rRNA from 1 species
AUUGAACGCUGGCGGCAUGCUUUACACAUGCAAGUCGAACGGUAACAGGCCUUCGGGUGCUGACGAGUGGCGAACGGGCGAGUAAUGCAUCGGAACGUGCCCAGAGGUGGGGGAUAACGCAGCGAAAGCUGAGCUAAUACAGCACGUGAUCUGAGGAUGAAAGCGGGGGACCAAGCAGCAAUGUUUGGCCUCGCGCCUCUGGAGCGGCCGAUGUCAGAUUAGGUAGUUGGUGGGGUAAAGGCCUACCAAGCCGACGAUCUGUAGCUGGUCUGAGAGGACGACCGGCCACACUGGGACUUGGCCACCGCCCAGGCUCCUACGGGAGGCAGCAGUGUGGAAUUUUGGACAAUGGGCGCAAGCCUGAUCCAGCGAUGCCGCGUGCGGGAAGGAGGCCUUCGGGUUGUAAACCGCUUUUGUGCGGAGCGAAAAGGCUCUGGCUAAUACCUGGGGCUGAUGACGGUACCGUAAGAAUAAGCACCGGCUAACUACGUG